CCCCUAGAUGCUCUGGGCCGCACGCGCGCUACACUGAACAGUUCAACAAGUCUUAACCUUGGCCGAUAGGUCUGGGUAAUCUUUGAACGCUGUUCGUGACUGGGAUAGACCUUUGCAAUUAUGGGUCUUCAACGAGGAAUUCCUAGUAAACGCAAGUCAUCAGCUUGCAUUGAUUACGUCCCUGCCCUUUGUACACACCGCCCGUCGCACCUACCGAUUGAAUGGUCCGGUGAAAUCUCGGGACGGCGGCUUGGUCGCUUGCGUCCGACUGCUGAAACUUGAUUAAACCAUAUCAUUUAGAGGAAGGUGAAGUCGUAACA
rnacentral:rRNA from 1 species